UACGUAGGAUGCGAGCGUUAUCCGGAUUUAUUGGGCGUAAAGCGCGCGUAGGCGGCCGCCUAAGCGGAACCUCUAACCCCGGGGCUCAACCUCGGGCCGGGUUCCGGACUGGGCGGCUCGAGUGCGGUAGAGGAGAGCGGAAUUCCCGGUGUAGCGGUGGAAUGCGCAGAUAUCGGGAAGAACACCGAUGGCGAAGGCAGCUCUCUGGGCCGUCACUGACGCUGAGGCGCGAAAGCUGGGGGAGCGAACAGG
rnacentral:rRNA from 1 species